GACGAACGCUGGCGGCGUGCUUAACACAUGCAAGUCGAACGGAAAGGCCCUGCUUGUGUGGGGUGCUCGAGUGGCGAACGGGUGUGUAACACGUGAGUAACCUGCCCUUGACUUUGGGAUAACUUGAGGAAACUGGGGCUAAUACCGGAUAGGAGCUCCUGCUGCAGGGUGGGGGUUGGAAAGUUUCGGCGGUUGGGGAUGGACUCGCGGCUUAUCAGCUUGUUGGUGGGGUAGUGGCUUACCAAGGCUUUGACGGGUAGCCGGCCUGAGAGGGUGACCGGCCACAUUGGGACUGAGAUACGGCCCAGACUCCUACGGGAGGCAGCAGUGGGGAAUAUUGCACAAUGGGCGGAAGCCUGAUGCAGCAACGCCGCGUGCGGGAUGACGGCCUUCGGGUUGUAAACCGCUUUCGCCUGUGACGAAGCGUGAGUGACGGUAAUGGGUAAAGAAGCACCGGCUAACUACGUG
rnacentral:rRNA from 1 species